UCCUUUGCAGAGGAAUCGGUAGCUGCAGCUCCCGGAGCACAGCGGACAGAGCUGCGGGCUGCGUGCGCCCCUGCUGCCACCGGGCCUGCCGCGGUGGCUCCCGCGCCCCGCGGCGACUUCCGCUCCCGUGCUUCUCUUUGUUCAAGUCCCCGAGCGGCGGCCGGGUCGGAGCCCGCGCCUUGGGCGACUGAGGCGGCCGCAGUCCGCGCCCCGGCGCCCUGGCGAUGCCGGACCAGAUCUCCGUGUCGGAAUUCGUGGCCGAGACCCUUGAGGACUACAAGGCACCCACUGCCUCUAGCUUCACCACCGGCACGGCCCAGUGCCGGAACACCGCGGCGGCCAUCGAGGAGGUUUAGUCUCCACUGCCAGCUGCCAUGGACAAGCAGAACAGCAAGCUGGGUCCUGAGGUGCUGCAGGACCUGCAGAAUCACAGGGAGUUCACUGACCAUGAGCUUCAGGAGUGGUACAAGGGCUUCCUCAAUUACUGUCCCACUGGCCACCUGACCGUGGACAAUUUCAAGAUCUAGGCCAACUUCUUCCCCUACAGAGAUGCCUCCAAGUUCGCUGAACAUGUCUUCCACACCUUUGACACCAACAGCGACAGCACCAUCAACUUCCGAGUGUUCAUCAUUGCUCUGAGCAUGACCUCUCGGGGCAAGCUCGAACAGAAGGUCAAGUGGGCCUUCAGCAUGUCUGACCUAGACAGCAAUGGCUACAUCAGCUGCAGUGAAAUGCUGGAGAUAGUGCAGGUACCUGCACUUGACAGGGCCUGGAGCAUGGGGAGUGCAGGGGUCCAGGACCCCCAUCCCCGGCCCCAUACACCAGGCUAGGUCAUUCCUCUGCCCACUUGCUACCUGGUGUACUAAAGGACUGCCUGUCUUUGCAGAGAGUAACAAUAAAAGCCAGCAUCUCUCGAUUGCUUGCUGGACAUCCGGCCCCAGCUGAGCUCAUCCAUCAGGUUUUUUCACACAAUUCUAUCAAAUGGGUCUUUUAUUUUUAACCUCUAAUGAGAUCUGAGGCUCAGAUAGGUGAUUAAGAAUUGUCAAAGCAAGAACUUGGAAAAUGGCUCAGUGGGGAAGAACACUUGAUACCCAGCAUGAGGACCUGACUUCUGAUCCCAACACCCACGGAAAAGUCAGGAGUGGCUGAGCGUGCCCGAAACCCUAGAACUAGGGGACAAGUGAGUCCCAGAAGCUUGCUGAGCAGGAAGCCUAGCUACAAUGUUAAGCCCCGGCUGGGUUCAGUGAUAGAGAAAAGGUUAUACUGUGAACACCGGUAUUCCUGUUUGGCCUCUGCACGGGUGGGUGUUCAUCUGCACACACAUGUAUAACAUACACACACAUUAGCUGUCUAUAGGGCUUCCUAUAGAAAUCAGAACGACACAGUAAAGGAUGAGUCAGCAGUCAGUUCUUCACAGGAGCGAUGCUUAUGUGCACCCUGCAUCCUUCCUGCUCCAUGCUCUAAACCAUCUCUGUAUUUGGUCCAGUGGGCUGACUCUGUGGGUAAAGGUGCUUGCUACCAAGCCUGGCAGCCUGGGUUCGAUCCCUAAGACCCACAUGGUAGGAAAAGAGAACCAGCUUCCACAAGUUGUCCUCUGAAUUCUACCUGAGAUCAUCUCCCCCAAAUAAAUAAUUACAUACAUCCAUAAAAUAAGUAAAGUAGUUAUAUACAGUGCCUAAUACAAUGGCUAUAGAUGUUAAUAAUAAUUUGUAUUAUUUGGGAAAUAAGAAGAAACUGUCUGUGUACCUCCAGUUUCAUUUUCUAGACUAUUUCCCACCUAUAGUUUGUUGAAUCUGCAGAUUCGGGAUCCAUGGGUGGGCAGGGCUCAAUGUAUUUCCCCUUUGACCUUCCCUCCAGGAUUUUCCAGCUCCCACCAAAGAUCCUCCUUUCAGACAGAAGCUGUGCCCCACAACCUCCCCUCUACUCUGAACCAAGGAGCCCUCCAUUCUUCCAUUCCCCAGCUGUAUCCUGUGCUCUUGAACGUCACUUAAACUUUCCUGGCUUCCUUUGCCCAGC
rnacentral:lncRNA from 1 species